rnacentral:rRNA from 1 species
CACGUAGGGUGCGAGCGUUGUCCGGAAUUAUUGGGCGUAAAGAGCUCGUAGGCGGUGUGUCGCGUCGGCCGUGAAAACCUGCAGCUUAACUGUGGGCUUGCGGUCGAUACGGGCAUCACUGGAGUUCGGCAGGGGAGACUGGAAUUCCUGGUGAUAGCGGUGAAAUGCGCAGAUAUCAGGAGGAACACCGGUGGCGAAGGCGGGUCUCGUGGGCCGAUGACUGACGCUGAGGAGCGAAAGCGUGGGGAGCGAACAGG